rnacentral:lncRNA from 1 species
AAUGCCCCGUAUGAUUCUCGCUUUAGGUGCAAAAAGUCCUGUGUAAACAUUUUGAACUACAAUAACUAUUUAAGCCACUACAUAGUCCUUUUACAUAUUUAGAAUAAAUUUUCCUCCUGAGUCAGGUAAAACAUUAUAGGCAGCAUCUACUUGCAAUCUGACAAGAUUAUGUACCUGUAUCUUUUACAAUAUUGCAGCCUUGUCAUCUUAAAUUAUGACAAACCCAAGAAAGUUGUCGCAUACACUUAAGUUUGAUGGUGAAAACAAAAUUAUUAUCCGAUUUGCAUCGAAUAGGCAUUAAAAUCAGUAGUUUAAAUUACAGCUGUUUUUAGGAAUGAAUAGAGUACAAUCGAUUUUGUUUUUUUCAGUUUAUCUUAAAUUUCAGACAGUCUGAAUCAUACAACCUUUAUAUCGCUUCAUCGCGUUUACUUACAUGGUUGCAUAAAUCGCUAGCUAGGGCACCAACUAGUUAUCAUUCAGGAUUAAUAGGGCUUAAUUGGAUUAGAAAUUUUACAUGUUAUUUUUCAAUCUUGUAUAUAUAUACACACACACAAAGCUUUUCAAAAUUUUAUAUGUACUUUUUCAAGCUUAUUAGUUGAAUUGGAUUAAUAAGUAAAAAUUUUCAAAUACUUCCAAAAUGUGACCCAUUUUGACUGCCUUUGGCCGAUUACAGAUUUUAGGUCAGCCAUAGAUCACCGAUUAAUCGUCAACUAAUCCUGAUUUUACUUAUCACCUCAUGAAGUUAAUAGUUCUAGAGGAUGCAUAUAUACAUAGCAACUGAUUUCACAAAUCCUAACUUAGUUUGUGCUGCUGCUAAAUAUAAACAAACAAUGAUGAAUAAUAUAAGAAAAUACACUCUAGAGAAUGAAUAUACCUAAUUUUGCUGUGUACGAAUCCACAUAAUACCUAAUUUUGCAACUAAUGCAUUAUUUAUCAAACACAACGUUAAACAUAACCUAAUAAUAUUUGAAAAUUGAAAAUAACUAGUUAACUUUUAGCAGAAAAUUGAGGCAUUAAAGAUGAAGAUGAAGUGAUUCUAACCUUUUACGUCGAUUGCUAUGCGAUUGUAGCCGGAGGAUAUCUGCAGAUAGCUCGUUUUGUUGUGGAAAAUAAAAAUGAUUUUGAGG